AUGCACGAGAGCGAAAGCAUUUCACUCAACUGGGUCCAUUAAUCAAGAACGAAAGUUAGGGGAUCGAAGACGAUCAGAUACCGUCGUAGUCCUAACUAUAAACGAUGUCAACCAAGGAUUGGAUGAAAUAAAGAAAUUCGCGGAUGAAGAAACAUUGUUUCGGAAACCAAGAGUUUCACAACUACCUUGUUCAGAACUUAAAGAGAAAUCUCGAGUUUAUGGACUUCAGGGGGAGUAUGGUCACAAGGCUGAAACUUAAAGGAAUUGACGGAAGGGCACACCAGGAGUGGAGCCUGCGGCUUAAUUUGACUCAACACGGGAAAACUUACCAAGACCGAACAGUAGAAGGAAUGACAGAUUAAGAGUUCUUUCAUGAUUUAUUGGGUAGUGGUGCAUGGCCGUUCUUAGUUGGUGGAGUGAUUUGUCAGGUUAAUUCCGGUAACGAACGAGACUGAAACCUAUUAAUUAGUUUCCUGCCUAUACGACAGGAAUCUCCGCAAGGUCAGGUGCCUCGGUACCACUUCUUAAAGGGACACAUUUCAAUUGUCUCAUUUUAAUCGAUGUCUCUGGCUCCGGUCA
rnacentral:rRNA from 1 species